rnacentral:rRNA from 1 species
UUGGAGGGCAAGUCUGGUGCCAGCAGCCGCGGUAAUUCCAGCUCCAAUAGCGUAUAUUAAAGUUGUUGCAGUUAAAAAGCUCGUAGUUGAAUUUCGGGAUCAAUUUAUUGGUCGUGCUAUUGUACGUACUGGUAUUAUUGAUUUCUACCUUCUGACGAACCAUGAUGUCAUUAAUUUGGUGUCUUGGGGAAUCAGGACUGUUACUUUGAAAAAAUUAGAGUGUUUAAAGCAGGCUCACGCUUGAAUACAUUAGCAUGGAAUAACGAAAUAGGACGUUUGAUUCUAUUUUGUUGGUUUCUAGGAUCGACGUAAUGAUUAAUAGGGAUAGUUGGGGGCAUUAGUAUUCAAUUGUCAGAGGUGAAAUUCUUGGAUUUAUUGAAGACUAGCUACUGCGAAAGCAUUUGCCAAGGAUGUUUUCAUUAAUCAAGAACGAAAGUUAGGGGAUCGAAGACGAUCAGAUACCGUCGUAGUCUUAACCAUAAACUAUGCCGACUAGGGAUCGGAUGAUGUUAAUUUUUUAAUGACUCAUUCGGCGCCUUACGGGAAAC